UGGUGCAUGGUUGUCGUCAGCUCGUGUCGUGAGAUGUUGGGUUAAGUCCCGCAACGAGCGCAACCCCUAUUGUUAGUUGCCAUCAUUCAGUUGGGCACUCUAAAGAGACUGCCGGUGUCAAACCGGAGGAAGGUGGGGAUGACGUCAAGUCCUCAUGGCCUUUAUGACCAGGGCUACACACGUACUACAAUGGCCGGUACAAAGGGCAGCCACUUAGCGAUAAGGAGCCAAUCCCGUAAAGCCGGUCUCAGUCCGGAUUGGAGUCUGCAACUCGACUCCAUGAAGUUGGAAUCGCUAGUAAUCGCAGAUCAGCACGCUGCGGUGAAUACGUUCCCGGGCCUU
rnacentral:rRNA from 1 species